AACGCACGCUAGUGGGCAGCAGCACAUGAGAAAUCAAAGUCUUUGGGUUCCGGGGGAAGUAUGGUCGCAAGGCUGAAACUUAAAGGAAUUGACGGAAGGGCACCACCAGGAGUGGAGCCUGCGGCUUAAUUUGACUCAACACGGGAAAACUUACCAGGUCCAGACAUAGGAAGGAUUGACAGAUUGAGAGCUCUUUC
rnacentral:rRNA from 1 species